rnacentral:rRNA from 1 species
AAUAUUGGACAAUGGGCGCAAGCCUGAUCCAGUCAUGCCGCGUGAGUGAUGAAGGCCUUAGGGUUGUAAAGCUCUUUCACCGGUGAAGAUAAUGACGGUAGCCGGAGAAGAAGCCCCGGCCAACUACGUGCCAGCAGCCGCGGUAAUACGUAGGGGGCGAGCGUUGUCCGGAAUUAUUGGGCGUAAAGAGCUCGUAGGCGGUCCGUUAAGUCGGAAGUGAAAUCUCAAGGCUCAACCUUGAAACUGCUUUCGAUACUGGCGGACUUGAGGCAGGUAGGGGAAGGUGGAAUUCCUGGUGUAGCGGUGAAAUGCGCAGAUAUCAGGAGGAACACCGGUGGCGAAGGCGGCCUUCUGGGCCUGUUCUGACGCUGAGGAGCGAAAGCGUGGGGAGCAAACAGG